GUGUACAAGCAAUGUUUUUAAAGUUACUAGGCUACUUAGUGGUAUUAGGUAGUAAUAACUGAUGUAGUUGGCUAUAAAUGUAUUGUUUUUCUUAUUGAAAAAUUAAGCAUAUCAGUUGUGAAACUCAGAUUGCUUCCUUGCUGCACGUUUGUGAGCAAGUAAAUUGUUUUUGUUUCUUCCUCCUUUGUUCUCUGUCUUGUUCUUUUUCUUUUUGCUGCUGCCAUUGUUCCAACAU
rnacentral:lncRNA from 1 species